CAGUAGCCGCGGGAAUACGUAGGGUGCAAGCGUUGUCCGGAAUUAUUGGGCGUAAAGAGCUCGUAGGCGGUUUGUCGCGUCUGCUGUGAAAUCUGGGGGCUCAACCCCCAGCCUGCAGUGGGUACGGGCAGACUAGAGUGCGGUAGGGGAGAUUGGAAUUCCUGGUGUAGCGGUGGAAUGCGCAGAUAUCAGGAGGAACACCGAUGGCGAAGGCAGAUCUCUGGGCCGUAACUGACGCUGAGGAGCGAAAGCAUGGGGAGCGAACAGGAUUAGAGACCCCGGUAGUCCCUGUCUCUUAUAC
rnacentral:rRNA from 1 species